rnacentral:rRNA from 1 species
UACGAAGGGGGCUAGCGUUGUUCGGAUUUACUGGGCGUAAAGCGCACGUAGGCGGAUCUUUAAGUCAGAGGUGAAAUCCCAAGGCUCAACCUUGGAACUGCCUUUGAUACUGGGGAUCUUGAGUCCGGGAGAGGUGAGUGGAACUGCGAGUGUAGAGGUGAAAUUCGUAGAUAUUCGCAAGAACACCAGUGGCGAAGGCAGCUCGCUGGGACGGUACUGACGCUGAGGCGCGAAAGCGUGGGGAGCAAACAGG